AAAAUAAAAUAAAUAAAUAAAAGGUAAUAAAUUGGGAUUACUUGCAAAUUGCCAAUUUCCUAGUAAAAUGCAUCCCUAAAACGCAUCUUUCCAAACGUACCUGCAUUUUCAUAAACCACUAUCUUGAAAAAUCAGAAACUACCAUUUUCAUGAAGAUUUUUUCUCAAACGUCAUCUUGCAGACGCCUAUCUCGAAAAUUUUUCCAGUGCAGAACUCCUCUCUAACGCCAUCUUCAGCGGAUAGACUAACCUCUUUUCGACUUGCAUACUACCAUUGUUGAUUUGUAUCUCUUUCAAGCAAUGAAUGAGAGAAAAAAAAGCUAAUGCAGAAUUGUUGGACAAGUUGCUAAGGAUCAGACAGAAGAUGGCGAAACAAGUGGCUGUUAAGGAACAAAUACAAAUGUCACAAGUUUUAAACACAAGCAAUGAAAAGCAAUUAUGAUGACCCAAUUGGUUGUGUGUAGCUGGUACUCUAACUGGACUGGUUGUGUAUUGCUGGACAUAAAAUAACUCAUGUGUUGCUGGCUUAUUGUGCAAACUAAGUCGUGUGUAUGUUCAAACUACUGCCACUGCCUAAUGUUGCUGAGGGUAUAAUCCAACUCAUAAUUACUACUACUGUACUGAUCUUUAUUUCGUUAAUAGAACGUUAUUUUCCAUAAUAAUAAUAAUAAUAAUAAUUAUUAUUAUUAUUAUUAUUAUUUGCAAUAAUAAUAGCUUUGACAAAUGACAGCAAUUAUAAUAUUUAAAAUAAAAAUAAAAUAAUAUUAAAUUUGCCGCUAAAAUUGGUCGAAAGUUAGUUAAUAGCUUUAAUCCCCGCGCUUACGUAGAAAACUCAUGAAAAAACUAACAUACUUGUGCCAAUUUCCUACGCUUACAAGUGAGGUGAUAUUUCAUCACUUAUAAGUGUGGGUAAAGGUGCAUUUAGCCACACUUAUAAGCGUAACAAAAUCCAUAAUUAGCCACACUUACUAUGUGUGCUUAAUUUUCCCACCACUUUUUAGACCACACUUAUUUAAGUGUGGGAAAAUAUUUUAGGCACACUUAAUAAGUGUGGGCAAUUGCAUUUUCAAGUGAGGCUACAAGCAACAUUUUUUGUAGUGUAUGGUUGUUGAAUCUCAAGCAACCAUGUGAAUAGCAAAGAGAGGGAGAAGAGAAAAAAUAUAGAAUAAGAGAAGAAUAUUGUUUUAUUUCAUUAUAUAUCAUAAACUUUAAUGCCCAAUAUUAUUGUUGUUGAAUCUCCAACAACCAUGUGAAUAGGAAAGAGAGGGAAGAGAAAAAAUUUAGAAGAGGAGAAGAAUAUUGUUUUAUUUCAUUACGUUUUGUAAACUCUAAUGCGUCUUAAUGUCCCCUUUUAUACUAAUAAAAUUAUCAGAAACACCCACUUAUAACUAAUUACAAUCUUACUACCAAAUAUACUUGCUUGAUUUUCCAUAAUAAUUAACAUUCAACAUAUAUACAACUACAUAAUUUUAUAGCUACAUAUUAUUCAAUCAGUAAGUUAGAUAUUUAAGCCUUAUUUAUUUACUAUUUUUUAAAAAAUCAAAAGCCUAAAAUUUAAAUAAUAAUUAAGCUGAAGUAAAAAUAACAAUUUAUAAAUUUCUAUAAACUAAUAUUUGAGGCAAACCAAUUUAAGGAGUCCUAUAUAACUGUUUACCUUGUAGAUACUCUGAAAUGUCCUUGAUUGUAAGGUAGAUAACUUGAAUGAGUCCCACCUUACUAAAAUAUGUAUAAAUCUAGUUCAAUAUGAAAAAUAAGGAUUUUGGAUAUUGAAGAAUAAUCCAGCAUUUCUUUAAUGUACUCUU